rnacentral:rRNA from 1 species
UACGAAGGGGGCUAGCGUUGUUCGGAAUUACUGGGCGUAAAGGGCGCGUAGGCGGUCCUGAUCGUCGGAUGUGAAAGGCCUGGGCUCAACCUGGGAACUGCAUCCGAUACGGCGGGACUGGAGUGUGGGAGAGGUUGGUGGAAUUCCCAGUGUAGAGGUGAAAUUCGUAGAUAUUGGGAGGAACACCGGUGGCGAAGGCGGCCCCCUGGUUGGAUACUGACGCUGAGACGCGAAAGCGUGGGGAGCAAACAGG